UUACGGCCAUAUCACGUUGUAACACCGGUUCUCGUCGAUCAGCGAAGUUAAGUAACAUCAAGCCUGAUCAGUACCUAGAUGGGUGACCAGUUGGAAAUACAAGAUGAUGUAA